GAUGAACGCUGGCGGCGUGCCUAAUACAUGCAAGUCGAGCGAACGGACGAGAAGCUUGCUUCUCUGAUGUUAGCGGCGGACGGGUGAGUAACACGUGGAUAACCUACCUAUAAGACUGGGAUAACUUCGGGAAACCGGAGCUAAUACCGGAUGAUAUUUUGAACCGCAUGGUUCAAAAGUGAAAGACGGUCUUGCUGUCACUUAUAGAUGGAUCCGCGCUGCAUUAGCUAGUUGGUAAGGUAACGGCUUACCAAGGCAGCGAUGCAUAGCCGACCUGAGAGGGUGAUCGGCCACACUGGAACUGAGACACGGUCCAGACUCCUACGGGAGGCAGCAGUAGGGAAUCUUCCGCAAUGGGCGAAAGCCUGACGGAGCAACGCCGCGUGAGUGAUAAAGGUCUUCGGAUCGUAAAACUCUGUUAUUAGGGAAGAACAUAUGUGUAAGUAACUGUGCACAUCUUGACGGUACCUAAUCAGAAAGCCACGGCUAACUACGUG
rnacentral:rRNA from 1 species